AGCAGCCGCGGUAAUUCCAGCUCCAAUAGCGUAUAUUAAAGUUGUUGCAGUUAAAAAGCUCGUAGUUGAAUUUCGGGAUUGACACAUCGGUCGUGCCUUAAGGGGUAUGAACUGGUGUAGUCAAUUUCUCACCUUCUGGAGAACCGCAAUGCCCUUAAUUGGGUGUCGCGGGGAACCAGGACCUUUACUUUGAAAAAAUUAGAGUAGUUUAAAGCAGGCAUUUUGCUUGAAUACAUUAGCAUGGAAUAAUAAAUAGGACGGCAUGAUUCUAUUUUGUUGGUUUCUAGGAUCACCGUAAUGAUUAAUAGGGAUAGUUGGGGGCAUUAGUAUUCAAUUGUCAGAGGUGAAAUUCUUGGAUUUAUUGAAGACUAACUACUGCGAAAGCAUUUGCCAAGGAUGUUUUCAUUAAUCAAGAACGAAGUUAGGGGAUCGAAGACGAUCAGAUACCGUCGUAGUCUUAACCAUAAACUAUAGCCGACGUAGGGAUCGGAUGGAUGUUAAUUUUUUAAUGACUCAUUCG
rnacentral:rRNA from 1 species